CGAGGAGGGUGAAGUAAGAGCGUGAUACUUUGGUGAAACCAAUAACUGUGGAAGGUCUGUACACGAGAAAGCGUCAACCAACAUUAUUAUUCAAAGACACAACAUGAUUCUAAGGACCAAAGUACUACAAGAGUUAUGUCUAUAAGAAUUUGCAUUACACGACUGGGUUUGUAUUGCAGAUACAAAAUUGCAAGAAGAAGAAGAAGAUACCGGAGAAAGUACUAAACCUAGGUUUCCAAAAUUCAAAAGCAUGUCAGAUCUUUUGAUUCC